GAGAAACGGAGCCAGGCAGACAGAGGAGAGCAGUUUGACCAGGACAGAUGAUCAAAGGUGCAGAGUUAUUACCACCAUCACUCAGACAGGGACAGAAGAAUGGGUGGAGUUUGUGAUUGAAGGAGCAGCCAGUAAAGGAGUAUAUAAGAGCUGCAGCACCUACAUCAUAAAAGGAGACCAGACCCUCCUCAUAAUCCACAAACACCCCCACCAUCUCAGGACCAGACUGAAGACAGAGGGAGACUGAAGGAGUUACCUGGUUUGGGGACAUGGCUGUUUCCUGUCUGGGUAAAAAGUGUGGCCAAGGACUGAGGACUUUGAAACCACAAUGCCUGCUCAGCAGGACCAAUCAAGUGCUUGUUGGAAACAGGGAUGUUUUAGGUUUAGUUAUGUUUUUUUGUGCUUAGGUAGUAUUGGUGUUUGGUUUUGUUUCUCCCUAUUGCGUUUAAAUGGUUUGGCCAAAUCACUAUAAAAGCUGCCCUCCUGUGUCUUUGUGAUUAGGUCAGUUUGUGAGUUAAGUUGUGUCAACUUUGUUUGAUUAAGUUUGUGGAAGUUCCUUUUUGUAGAGUUAUAUUUAGUUGACCUCUUUUAUGGGCCCACUAAUUAUGUUUUGAACUUUUUGGGGGGUGAAAAUAAA